rnacentral:lncRNA from 1 species
UUUAGAGCAGCUUUAUUUAUUUUGUAUGAAAAAAAGGAACAUGAAAGAAAACCCAAUCUCGGUAUAUAUCAAAACAUGUAUAAGCCGCCCGUGAAGUGGAAUCGCAUCCCAAUCCACAUAGUAUUUAGUUGUAGGCGUCGGGGUUGGCGACGAGGUAGGCCUCGGCACCCUUGAAAAUGGCGGUGACUGCCUCCUUGGCCUUGACUUCCUCGCCCUUCACGUCCACACCCGGCAGCAGCUUGUAGGUCGACUCCACCUUCACCACGCUGCCGCCGCCGGCCGCGGGCUCCACCUUGAUGUGCGACGCCGCGGUCUCGACGGCCACGCCGAUGCCGCCACCCUCGACGAGCGUCGACUUGCACUCGCAUUUGUCCACGUCCAGGGACUCGAGCUUCUCCUUCAUGAAGCUGAACGGCAUGACUGCAAGAGCGAUCGAUCCCACAUCAGGCGCUUGCUGUUUGAUCAUCAUGUUGGUCUGGGCAACACUUACAUGAGGUGAAGUUGAACUGCCUGACGCUGCCAACACCGCCGUCGCCCUCCACGGGAUGGGCGCUUGUGACGACGUGAGAGGCGACCUUGGGCGCCAGGUUGUGCCAGUCCAUCACGGCGGCGCGGAACAGGCGCGGCGCGGCCACCGGCGACGGGAUCUCUAGGGUCCAGCUGUUGGAAGCCAUGCUGGUGGUGGUCUGGGAUGAGCUUUGGCUCGGUGCCUAGGCCUAGUUUGAUACUAGUAGCUGGAGCUGCUGCUUGUGUUGCUGGAACGAGCGGCAACAAGGUAUUUAAAUAGAGUGCGGUGAGCGCGGGGUUGGUGACGCUUUGCCCGGUUGGUGUCCGGUGGUGACUGGUGAGGGCCUCAAGUUGCUGGGCGAGUCGUCGGGCUUUUCCACAAUGGAUGGCUCUGUCGGUCGAGUGAGCUUUUAGUAAGGCGGGCGUCGAAACACACGUCUUGCACGGUCUUUGUCAAAACACGAGGAUAUAUUCGAGGAGUAUGUUGACGGAAUUGGCGCCACCUUCCGCUUGCACAAUUUGGUCUUUGGUAUAUAAAAGUAGUAUGUAAUGACUGUCAGAGUUCUAGAUAUUUGACUGCAUGUCUGCAUGCUAGGAUAACUUCCAUUCUAGAACGAUAUGAGGCCCUUGACUAACAUGAAUACAUCAUCUUUUGAAUUUAGACAUGAGAAGACUUAAAUUUUGUUUGACAUAACUCAACUUUAUUUUUGAAACUGCUUUUUUUAAAUAGCUCUACGUGCAACUUUCUCGGUAUUAAAAAGUUAUUUUAUAAAAUAGCUUCACUAACAACUUUAUGUAUGGUUGAGAGAGAGAAAUGAAAGAGCGCUUUGAAAAGUUAUUUUUAGCUCUAUUUUUCUGUGAGAGCAUAAAAAAGGUGUUUGACAAAAAACAACAACAACUCACAACAGCUCAUGAAGUUGUUGGUUAAACCGUGUCACAUAGAGCCUCACUUGCUGUCGACGAAAGCUGGUCGGCAGUCUACCUUGGGGUAUACCCACGGUAGUAGUUUAUUGGUAGACGGUGCGCAAACUACGAACUCGACGGUGACGCAAGACUCGGACAAGCUUUUUAUCCAGGUUCGGCCGCCGAGUUGGCGUAAUACCUACGUCCUGCGUCUGGUUGUAUUGAUUUGUGUUGAGAGAAUAUCCUGUCCUAGGGGGGUCCCUUGCCCCUCCUUAUAUAGUCUGGAGGGCAGGGUUACAGAUCUGGAAACUAAUCCUAGUCGGUUACAAUUGUCAUAGAUAGUUCGAUAUCAAUUCCUAUUCUAACCGACUAGAAUCCUGCUUGAUCUCCACAUCUUGCUUCCUUGCGCGAAACCCCAUGCUGUCGGAUCAAGCCUUGAACUCGUCUCGUAAUGGGCCAAGCCUCCUGGCCCAAGUCUAGCCAUAAGGGUAUAGGGGUCUAUCCCCCCACACUUGCUGACAGUGAUGCCACCUUUUUCUUCUUAUCUCAUCCCUUAUGGAUCUUUUAUGAGAAACAUCUUGUUUAAUUUAUAAAAAAACUACCCUUUUUUUAAGUGACUCCUUCUUGCUCUAGCGAGAUCUUUUACCGUUGUCGAAAUGGUAACAUGAUGUACCACUCAACAUGCAUGAGAGGUAAACCACGGUACCUUUAGGACUAAUAGUUUUGACACCUACAGUACCAAACUCAAGUUAUAUAGUUUUGAUAACUUACCAAGGAUAAUAAAAAAAAACUCCUUACAAAUGCCUUCUAUGGCUUCUUAUAGGCACUUGUUAUGAUAUAAGGACACAACUAUGACAAUUAAGGAAUGGUGGGCAUCCUUAUUGAAGGUCCAUUUGGACUUUGGAUGCAAGGGGUAAUUGGUAGUUAGCUAAGAAUUAGCUCCCGUGUAUCUAAAUAGGAAUAUAUGUGCUAAUUUUUUAAUUAGCCAAGUUUUCAGCUAGUCGUUAGGCAAAUAGCUAGCCAACUAUAAACUAAUUUAGACUAAUUUUUAGCCCCAACUAAUAACUAGUGUAUCCAAAUAGAGUAGAAUUGUAAAAGAGAACGAUGGUAGUUCUAGUGUACUAUUUUUAGGAUGUCUACAAAUAACAAAAUAGAAGGGCUUUGCACGGAAAGAUGAAUUGACUCUAAAAAAGAAGGCUUGUGGCAAACCUAGUUUAGGCUUUUCAUUUCGCUGAAAAUACACUGAAAAGUACUGUUCACUGAUUUGUUGUGAGAGAAAAAUCCUGUAUCAUGACUGAUAAAUCUAAUGUCAUUGUUGUAUUCUUUUGUAACUUAAAUUUGCAAAAAUCUACAUUUUCUUUCUUUUUUAAAAGAAAAUGGACAGACAAGAGAGCUACCUUUUAUAUAGUACAGUCAGGCUUCUCCUUACGUGACCUGUCAUUUCUUAAAAAGAAAUGCAAGCUCGGUUGAUAAGGGUUUAGCCGUUUGAGGCCGCCGUUGAGCAUCACUUUUGUCUAAACUCAGAAAAUGAACUAAAAGCUGCUGUGAAGAGAUUUCGUGGCUUAUGAUUUGUUCUGGAAGCUAAAAAAAUAUUACAAAAUUCAAUAAUGAAAAUACAACAGUCAGAAGCCACAAAAUCAGCUUUUAUGUCAAAAGUACAAAAGAUACCGCUCAAACAAACAAGCCCUUAAAUGUCUUCUUCUCCCAGCUCUCUAGUGAACGCUAUAGCUCUUGGAGCUUUCAUAUUUUCCAUAAUAAUUUUAAACACUCUACCAAUAUCUACUGAAAAUGUAUCGAAAAAAUCAAAAUAUCUAUUAGAAAUGAGCAAAAUUAUCGGUCAAACUUGCAUAGAAUUCGAAAACAAAAUGCCCCUAUUCUUCCCACACAUAAAACCAUUGUAUACCCAUUUUCUGUCCCUUCUUCUUUCAAGAAAGUCAUUGUAUACCCAAAUAGUUUUCCAUCCGCCCUAUUUAUAGUCCAGUUUAUCCAGUUUUUGGUAAAACCUAGCCUAGCCCGUAGGAUUUAUCUACAACAGUUUCUAACCCACAGGUACCAGCGGUUUCCCUCCUGAUCUUCCCCAAUCGCCCACUUGCAACACCACGUUGCUCAUUGUUAACUUACUCUCCACGGACCUGUCCGCUCGUCGCGCUCGCCUCGAGCCGUCCGUGCGCUCUGGAGAUCCUAACUUUAUAUAUGGCCAUGCAGCCCAUGGCCCGGUGGCCCGGCCCAUGGCCUGACGAUUUGGCACGGCCCGAGGGACCCUGCCUAGGCCACCACCUAUGCACGCGACAUGGCCCAAGCAUGGCUUUAUCCAACGGUUGGCCCGGUAGCGGCUCGGUGAAAAUAAACUGUUGUGUAGUUGUGACUUAUAUAUAUAUGUGCCGUUAAUUGUUAUAUUGGAGAAAAUGAUGAACAAUUGGUGAAAAUGAUAAAGUGUUUUAGCACUUAGUGAAAAUGUUAAUGAAAAUGAACUGUUUUCGGCUAAACGGGUCGUGGGCUGGCACAAUACGAGAAAAACGCCAUGCUUGACGGGCCGACACGACACGAAAACCGGCCCAUAGGCCGUGCCUUAGGCCGAAGGCUAUGCAUGAAGUCCAUGGAGGCACGACCCGCAGCACGACACUGCAUGACGUUGGACAUAUAUAAUCCUAAAGCAGGACGAUUAGAAGGAAGAAGAUGGGGGUCUCCACCUGUCGUGCAGUGGAAUUCUCGUGCCUCCCCGUGCAUGGCCACGGUGCCACCAUUGACCACACGAGCGCGGCGUGGUGUGCGUCCGAAGAUGUUGUGGCUGGCGUUGAAGACAACCUCGAAGUUGUGCCUCUGUCCUCCAUUGGUGCCCAUGGGUACGCUGUUGAGCGGCGCUGGUGCCCCCUUCGUCGGCACGGGAGGAAGAACACGACCAAGUUUAACGAGUUGAGUGGUGUGGAAACGUCGCAAACCAACACGCGUGGUUUCUCCUGACACGGUUUACCGUGGGCUGAUUCACGGGUACACGGUUAGUAUACAUAUAUAUAGGGGGUGUUUGGUUCAAAAAAUGCAAAUGUCAAUUACUUUGUAAUGAUGGAAUGUAAAAGGUCAAACUUUUCAUGGUUAUGUUUAGUAAUGCAGAAUUUAUUGUCUUUAUAAGGGCCUCUUGAGGUUCUUUUGGUGUGUUUUUUUGCCUCUUGAGGUCAAAAUCUAAAAUAAAGAAUAAUUAUUUUUUUGCUAAAAAUUUUGCAUGCUGUUUAGUUAUAUUAUACAGAACAAUGGACCAAAACCAAGAAUUUUUUAGAAUAGCAGGGGAAAACACCCAUAAUCGCACAACGACAGCAUGCUACAUACCACUCAUAACAUCUCAAGUCCACACACCGCACACUGCUUAGAGCAGCUUUAUUUAUUUUGUACGAAAAAAGGAACAUGAAAGAAAAAAAAUCCAGUCUCUGAAUAUAUCAAAACAUGUAUAAGACCACCCGUGAAGUGCAAUCGCAUCCCCAUCCACAGAUUUAGUUGUAGGCGUCGGGGUUGGCGACGAGGUAGGCCUCGGCACCCUUGAAGAUGGCGGUGACUGCCUCCUUGGCCUUGACUUCCUCGCCCUUCACGUCCACACCCGGCAGCAGCUUGUAGGUCGACUCCACCUUCACCACGCUGCCGCCGCCGGCCGCGGGCUCCACCUUGAUGUGCGACGCCGCGGUCUCGACGGCCACGCCGAUGCCGCCUCCCUCGACGAGCGUCGACUUGCACUCGCACUUGUCCAUGUCCAGGGACUCGAGCUUCUCCUUCAUGAAGCUGAAUGGCAUGACUGCAAGAGCGAUCGAUCCCACGUCAGGCGCUAGCUGUUUGAUCGAUGAUCAAGCGAGAGAACAUCAUGUUGGUCUGGGCAACACUUACAUGAGGUGAAGUUGAACUGCCUGACGCUGCCAACACCGCCGUCGCCCUCCACGGGAUGGGCGCUUGUGACGACGUGAGAGGCGACCUUGGGCGCCAGGUUGUGCCAGUCCAUCACGGCGGCGCGGAACAGGCGCGGCGCGGCCACCGGCGACGGGAUCUCGAGGGUCCAGCUGUUGGAAGCCAUGGCUGGUGGUCUGCGAUGAGCUUUGGCUCGGUGCCUAGCUAGGUCUAGUUUGAUUAGCUGAUGCAAGUAGGUGGAGCUGCUGCUUGUGUUGCUGGAACGAGCGGCAAAAAGGGAUUUAAAUAGAGUGCGAUGAGCGCGGGGUUGGUGACGCUUUGCCCCGUUGGUGUCCGGUGGUGACUGGUGAGGCCUGAAAGUUGCUGGGCGAGUCGUCGCGCUUUUCCACAAUGGAUGGCUCUCCGUCGGUCGAGUGAGCUUUAUUAAUAAGGCGGGCGUCCAAAACACACGUCGUUGUCGCACACUCUUUGUCAAAACACGAGGAUAUAUUCGAGGAAUAUGUUGACCGAAUUGGCGGCUUGCCGCCACCUUCCGCUUGCACAAAUUGGUCUAGGUCUUAAAAACAAGCCAUGUAUGUCACAUUUGGUUGGUAUAUACAAGUAGUAUGUAAUGACUGUCAGAGUUCUAGAUAUUUGACUGCAUGGAUGUCUGCAUGCUGGAUAACUUCCAUUCUAGAACGAUAUGCCUUGACUAACAUGAAUUCAUCAUCUUUUGAAUUUAGACAUGAGAGGACUUAAGUUCCGUUUGACACAACUCAGUUUUAUUAUCGAAGCUGUUUCUUUAGAUAGCUUUAUGAGUAACUUUCUUGGCUGAGCUAUUUUAGAAAAUCAUUUUGUAAAAUAGUUUCACUAACAACUUUAUGCAUGGUUGAGAGGGGAAAAUGAGAGAGCUUUUUGAAAAGUUGUUUUUUAGUUCUACUUUUCCGUGGGAGCAUAAAAAAGGUGUUUGACAAAAGAAAAGAGUAAAGUCCAUCACCAGUCUCUAAACUUGUUUAGGUAUAUCAUCCCGGUCUCUAACUCGCAAAACGAUCGUUUAGGUACCUAAACUUGUUCGGCUAUAUCACUCUGGUCCCUAAACUUGGAAAUCUCAUAUAUAGGCCUUCAAACUUGUUUAGUUGUGUCAUCCCAGUCCCUAAACUUGUUUUUAAGUCUCGUCUGGUUCAAAACGGAACGAAUCUAAAAACUCUAUAAAUAACUCAUAACUUUUUCAUAUAAACUCAAAUAAAGAUAAACUUUAUAUUAAAAUUAUAGCCAACAAUGUGAUCUACAACUUUGUAGUUAAAAAGUUUUUAAACUAAAAUAAUUUAGGGUCUCAUUUUUUUGUAAGUUUAUUAAAUUUUGUGACACUAAAUGACUUCAAAUAAAAAACUUUUCAACUACAAAGUUAUAGAUCACAUUGAAGGCUACAACUUUAAUAUAAAGUUUGUUUUCAUUCAAGUUUAUAUGAAAACGUUAUGAAUUAUUUUUCUAUAUAGAGUUUUUAGAUCGCUUUGUUUUGACCCAGGUGAGACUCAAGACCAAGUUUAGGGACUGAGAUGACACAACUGAAUAAAUUUAAGGACCUAAAUGGGUAAUUUCUAAGUUUAGAAACCAGGAUGACACAUCUGAACAAGUUUAGAGACCGGAAUGAUAUAGACAAACAAGUUUAAUGACCUAAAUGAUCAAUUUAUGAGUUUAGGGACCGAUCGAGGUGAUACAACAGGUGGUGGAUUUUACUAUAAAAACUCACAACAACUCAUGAAGUUGUUGAUGAAGCUGUGCCAAAUAAGGCCUCACUUGCUGACGGUGUUGUCACCCUUUUCUUCUUAUCUCACCCUUUACAGAUCUUUUACAAGAAACAUCUUGUAAACAAAUCGUUGUCACCCUUUUUUUUUUGUUGAGUGACCCCUUCUCGCUCUAGCAAGAUCUUUUGCCGUUCUUCAAAUGGUAACAUGAUGUACCACUCAACAUGCAUGGGAGGUAAAAAAAAUGGUACCUAGGUACUAAUACUUUUGAUAGCUACAGUACCAAACUCAAGUUAUAUAUAGUUUUGAUACCUUACCAACGAUAAAAAAACUCCUUACAAAUGACUUCUAUGGCUUCUUAUAGACACUAGUUGCUAUAUGAUAUAAGGACACAACUAUGACAAUUAAGGAGUGGUGGGGUCUUUAUUAAAGGUUUGUUUGGACUUUGGAUACAAGGCGUAAUUGCUAGUUAGCUAAGAACUAGCUCGUGUAUCUAAAUAUGAGAGUUAAUAGGUGAGUUACUUUUAUAGUCAUUUUUUUUACUAGUCGUUAGUCAACAACCAGUAACUAGCCAUGUGUAUCUAAAUCUCCUACAACUAAAAAGAACAAAACGUGGAUACUUUUUGGUGCGACAUUCUAACGUGGGCCCAUAGUCCUGCCUGCUGCGUUCCCGUGGCCACUCUACAUCGUGCAUGACAUCCCUUGCGAUAUUCAAUUCAAAUCAAGAAUCGAUAUGUCAGGUUCCAGUUUUUAUACGAUUGCCAUAUGAAGCCUUUCCGCCAAAAGCCGUCCGACCACGGUGAAACAAAAAUAAUAAUAAAAUCUGCCCCAAUUCACGGACGGGUGACCAACGUGGCCAUGCAUGAAAGAAAUCGUCUAAAAAAUACUCAACUUUCCAUCUCUUCCGCUCCCUUUUCUUGAGAAAAAUGGUCAACCAUCGUGCAACUAAUCAGGAGACCAUCCCACCGAUCCCGCGUGCACAGCUGGCGGAAGCCCCUCGCGCGGUCACAAUCUCUCCUCAAUCAUGCACGGACAUCGCGUUCCUUAGGCAAAAGCAGAAAUUCCUCUCGAUCAUGCGCCGCCGCAACGAAACAUCUUCCUUUCCUGCCCGACGCCCUCGCUCUCGGUGCUUGGAGAGAUCGAGCCGAGCAUACCGGCUUCCCCUGAAGGCUUGAGACGGACACAGUUGACUGCUUCUUCGUCAUUGAUUGUCGCCAGCAACUGCGCCCUUGGCAUCGGUGUGGCCUUGCAAGAUUGGAUCUUUUUGUUUUCAUCCCAAUCAUCGCCAUGGCGGCCUCCUCCCCCUGAACGAUGAACGCAGCUGCUUCGUCAUUGAUGAUCAGCUUCUGACCCUUCACCAAUCUCUAUCCCCUAUUAUUUGUUCCAUCAUCUGUUCCACUUUCCACGAUUGAUUCAGUACUGGUGUUGCAAACUUAUUUCGAUUCUCAAAAAGCGAACAACCUGAUCGGUUUGGUAAGCAUCUUUCUAUUCCAGGCUAUCGAAGCUCUCAUUAAGCUUUUUGAUUCAGUUUGUGCCAAAGGUACGUUCUUGGCAAAUGCGAGCUGGCACCAUGAAGCAAAUUAUAGCUAUUGGAGUCCAGUAGAUAAUAUCUUGUGUGAUCUCCUUGUUCUUAAAUAGUGUAAUUUAAGAAAAAACUUAUUCAUGUUUGUUCUCUUCGACCUUUUUAGAUACAAGACACAGAUUAUUAUAUUGAUAUCAUAAUUGGUUGUGGCAUUGAGGUGUGUAAAUUUAUGCUUUUCUCUUUUCUGUCGGUGUUUAAACUCUCUUCUGAAUUCAUGCCAUCCAUUGACUCCAGGUGAGAAACACCUCCUGUUGUUUAAUUGUUUUUUUGCUCUUGCUUUCAGUAUGAAUAGUCAAAUAUAGUCAAAACAAUAACCUGGUUCAGUAGUAAUAAGGAAUCAAGCUAUUGCAACACUUCUUGUCAAAAAAAUGCAGCACUUCUAGAGUUGCUACGGGUUUUAAAAUUCUCACUUGCUGCACAUUAGGAGACGAAAUUCUUGGUUUCAGUUAGCAGAGUGACACUUAUCACUGUUAUCUAUAAGGCAAAUCUAACAACAUAGCACAGAUUGUGGACAUCAGUUUUUUUUUAGAAAGUGGACAUUGUGGGCGGCUGAGCGGGCACCUACGGGUGGGCGCGGCCGGCGUCAUGGCCAGCUCUGGGCGGGCGCGGGGUGGGGGAGGGGGGUGAUCAAGGCUGAAUCACAGGAAGGUUUCCUUUUAGGUGCUGUUAGCUUGGUUGGCUAAUCCCACACGCUUGAGGAGUUGCCUCUAGGAGGGGGCUGAAAUCACUUGGAGUUUCUUUUGAAUAUCGCAACGGGUGGAAAUAUUGAUCACGAAAAAAGUGGAAACAAAUAGCACCUUGGCUCUUUCCUUUUGAAUAUAGCAAAGGAUGCUGUAGGUGGGCGACGACGUUGUAGGCUCACAAAAUCACUGUCGUUUGCAAUAACAAAUACCUAUGAUUUAACUAUUUCUAUAUAUUGCUGAUCAUGAAUCUUCCUACAGGUACUUAAGUGGAUUUCUCAUCCUACAAUAUAUGUCUACAUGGAAUAGACCAAAAGCCACACAUAUUUAUACAGUGAGUCUAACACUUUGUCUAAGUUUUUGUAAAAGUUUUUUAACAAAAUAUAGUAUUACCCAUGCGACACACACUAAUAUUUACAUAUAUAUACUCGAAUGUGUGACAGGAUGGUACGAAGAUGCGGCAGAAUUUAUUUGUGGAUUUACUGGCACAUGAAAGAAAUGGAUAUCCGAGAUAUCUUCCCGUCGAUAUUAAACAUUAUCUUAGCCGUAUCACGGAAAGGUCUAUAAAGUAGAGUUUGUGAGCCUACAACGUCGUGCUCUUCGUGACUGUGUUUGAUUUCACAAACAUUGCGAUCCUACAAUGUCAUUUUCAAGUUGUUAUUUAAGUAGAAGAUUCUAAUAUUAUUAUCUUGUUAUGCGAUCUAUGUAUUUUAAAUAAAAAAUGUUAGCUAUCCCGUAGCAACGCACGGGCAUGCUAUCUAGUAGAGUAGAAUUGUAAAAGAGAACAAUGGUAAUUCUAGUGUACUAUUCUUGAGAUGUCUAGAAAUAACAAAAUAGAAGGGCUUUGCACGGAAAGAGGAAUGUACUGUGAAAAACAUGGCAUAACUUAUGCCGAGGCUGUUCGUUCCGUUAAAAAAAUAAGUUGAAAAGAAAGUAAUGUUCACUAAUUUAUUGUGUGAGAAAAAUAUUGUAUCAUAGCUGAUAAGUCUGUAGUGUCAUUGUUAUAUUCGUUUGUAACAUAAAUUUGCAAAACUCUACAUUUAACAUUUUCUCUUUUUUUUAGAAAAAAAUGGACAGACACGAGAGCUACCUUUUAUAUAGUACAGUCAGGCUUCUCCUUACGUGAUUGAGCAAAGCUCGGUUGAGCAAACAAGGAUGACACAUCUGAACAAGUUUAGAGACCGGAAUGAUAUAGACAAACAAGUUUAAUGAUCUAAAUGAUCAAUUUAUGAGUUUAGGGACCGAGAUGAUACGACAGGUGAUGGAUUUUACUAAAAAAACUCACAACAACUCAUAAAGUUGUUGAUGAAGCUGUGCCAAAUAAGGCCUCACUUGCUGAUGGUGUUUUCACCCUUUUCUUCUUAUCUCACCUUUUACAGAUCUUUUACAAGAAACAUCUUGUAAACAAAUGGCUUAACUCUUUUUGUUGAGUGACCCCUUCUCGCUCUAGCAGGAUCUUUUGCCGUUCUUCAAAUGGUAACAUGAUGUACCACUCAACAUGCAUGGGAGGUAAAAAAAUGGUACCUAGGUACUAAUACUUUUGAUAGCUACAGUACCAAACUCAAGUUGUAUAUAGUUUUGAUACCUUACCAACGAUAAAAAAACUCCUUACAAAUGACUUCUAUGGCUUCUUAUAGACACUAGUUGCUAUGAUAUAAGGACACAACUAUGACAAUUAAGGAGUGGUGGGGUCUUUAUCAAAGGUUUGUUUGGACUUUGGAUACAAGGCGUAACUGCUAGUUAGCUAAGAACUAGCUCGUGUAUCUAAACAUGGGAGUUAAUAGGUGAGUUACUUUUAUAGUCAUUUUUUUGACUAGUCGUUAGUCAACAACCAGUAAUGUGGGGGUAUAAACCCCUAUACCCUUACGGCUAGACUUCGGCCAGGAGGCUUGGCCCAUUACGAGACGAGUCCAAGGCUUGAUCCGACAACCUGGAGUUUCGCGCAAGGAAACAAGAUGUGGAGAUCAAGCAGGAUUCUAGUCGGUUAGAAUAGAAAUUGAUAUCGAAUUAUCCAUGACAAUUGUAACCGACUAGGGUUAGUUUCCGGAUCUGUAACCCUGCCCUCCAGACUAUAUAAGGAGAGGCAAGGGACCCCCCUAGGACAUCAUAUUCUCUCAACACAAAUCAAUACAACCAGACGCAGGACGUAGGUAUUACGCCAACUCGGCGGCCGAACCUGGAUAAAAAGCUUGUCCGUGUCUUGCGUCACCAUCGAGUUCGUAGUUUGCGCACCGUCUACCGAUAAACUACUACCGUGGGUAUACCCCAAGGUAGACUGCCGACUAGCUUUCGUCGACAGUGGCGCGCCAGGUAGGGGGUGUGCGUGCAACUUUUCCGGCGAACAAGAUGGUCACGAUCCCAGCUUCCGCGACCGUGCCCGAAGGCCUCACGUUCACCGUCGGCCAGAUCACGUGGACGGCGUGCAGCGGCGGCUUCACGACCACGGUUUCGGAAGAGAUCCAGAUCCAAUCUGAGUUCACGCCGUCUCCGACCACACGCAUGACGGCACCAAGCGCCCGACCACCGUUCCCACUCUACAAGGGAAAGGAGAUCGACUGCUCGGACCUUCUCCAAGCGCUUGAUCGCGCUGACUCCAAGCUACUCGAAGUUUCCCAACUAAUAGAUGGAGUUCUGCGUCGGCCCGACCAAGCUGCUCCAGCGGAUUUUUUCAAAUCCCGCCGGCCAACUCGUGUCGCCACACACGAACGGCUGGGAACGUCUCUGACGAUAACCUCAACCCCCUCAGGACGAUCCGUCCAGCUCAAGAAGGAAGACUAUCCUUGCGGCCUGAACAACUCGACCUCUGUUUACUCACGGCACACCCAAUCCGUUUUCAGCAAGGCGGGUUGGUCGCCGACAACGAACAAUCGUCACCACGUCAACAUGGUGACAAUCCGAGAACUACGGGACGGCCAGGCUUCCAGCACCAACUCAAGCACCGGCUCCGUCCCCACCGAGGUUAUAAACACCGAAGACGAGGACUAUGACCUGGAUUUCCCUUCAUACCCUCCGGGUUUCGACCGAUUCCCGAUAUUCCCCCCCCGGCGAGGGGAUAUUGUGUUCAAUGUCAGCGCCGACGAACCGGUCGUUGAUGGAGAAACAGAUGACCAGAGGCAACUCCGCGAACGGCGUAACGCCGAUCGCGCCCGACGACGCGCGGACGAGCAACAACAAAUGCCACCAAAUAAUCUCAACGAUGCCUUUGACAUGGUCGGGGACCAGCCAGUCUACAAAACGCCAAGCGCCAACGUGGCUGUCGCCAUGGCUAACCUGGAUCGGCUUCCCGACACCCCCGAAUGCCAGGGAGUCCGGACCAGCAUCCGAGCACACCUGAUCGCCGCAAUGGGACAGACGGCCACUCUGCUCAAGAGAGUCUAGGACGUCUCUUAUACGGAAGCCGUCUCCGACCAGACUAAUCAUAGCCGGGCCUCACCCAGCAGGCGUCACCGCAGCCGCUCCCCCGACAACCGUCGAGGGGACUCACGGCGCGACGAUGGUGGUCGGGACGCCGAUGGCCGCCGCAAGCAGAACCGCGUACGCGGCCAAGAGGAAGAUCAACACAGGGAUCUCCGCCACAACAUCCCUUCCAAAGAUGCCCGGGACCACAUCAACAGGCGCGCUGCAGAGAGAGCAGUCCACGAAAACCUGCGCCGCAUCGAGUACGAUGCAACACACGGUCCCCCGGGCCUAAGACAGUUCUCCUCGCACCUCCGCCAGGUCGUGUGGCCCCGCAAUUUCAAGCUCGAAAAACUCAAAAAGUACGACGGCAAGGAAAAUCCAGAGAACUGGAUCACCCUCUAUGACAUCGCCGUCCGAUCAGCGGCAGGGGACGAGCACGUCAUGGCUAACUACUUCCCCGUAGUCCUCGACCAGGCUGGUCAUCAGUGGCUUCUCGGCUUGCCCGAGGACUCCUUCGACUCUUGGGAAGAGCUACGCCAGGCUUUCAUCGACAACUUCAUCGCCACAUGCGAGCAGCCUGGAAACAAGUAUGACCUUGAAAGGAUAAGGGACAGGAAGAACGAACCUCUGCGCGAUUACAUCCGACGAUUCUCGGAUAUGCGCCUCAAAAUCCCGAAGAUUUCUCAUGACGAGGCCAUCUCAGCCUUCAUCAAGGGCCUGCGUUUCCACGAAGCGCUGAGGAACAAGCUGUUGCGUAAGCGUCCAACAACGGUAGCAGAGCUCCUCGCCACGGCCAAAAAUUACGCCGAUGCCGAUGACGCAGAAAAACUAAUCCGAGACGAUGCGAGGGGUCCCGACCAGCCUCCCCGACGAGAUGAUGGUCGUGGUCGCAACGACAGCAGAAAUCACCGCCGCUCCGACAACCGCGAUCAUCGAGAGGGUUGGGAUCGGCGGCGCGACAGCCGCGAUGACUUCAGAGGAAAGCGCCCUCGCGACUACGACCACGAAGUAAAUACGGUCAAACGACCCAAUGGACGACGGGACUACCAAGAAGACUACAACAAAACGUUGAGGGGACCAUGCCAACUACACCCAAAGUCCAAUCAUACCAUGGAAGAGUGCCGCGUCCUCAAAAGUAUCUAUACACGGCGGGCCGCCCAAGACGACUCCGCCAAGAAAAACAACAAGCGCGACGCGCACGACCACGAAGAUGAGGAUGAGGACCAAGAUAGGGACCCCCGACACCAAUACGUCAGCCCCACUGACGUGGUCCACUCCAUUUUCGGGGGCAAGGUCUCCACUGAGUCCAAGCGAGAAAGAAAGCUGUUAAAGAGAGCCUGCCUCAACAUAGACAGCACGGACGGGCUGAUCGCAGACCCGAAAUUUCCCACGUGGUCCCACAGGGAGAUCUCGUUCAGCAGGAAGGACCAGUGGGCCGCUAUCCCAGAGCCGGGUCGUUUCCCCCUGAUUCUUGACCCCUGCAUCAACAGCAUCAGAUUCGAGCGCGUGCUCGUGGACGGGGGAAGCUCCAUCGACAUCCUCUUCCGCAACAGCCUGCCCGCCCUCAAGAUAUCCCCGGCACAACUAAAACCUUACGACGCCCAAUUCUGGGGGGUUUUGCCAGGUCAAAGUUCCGUGCCUCUCGGACAGAUAACAUUGCCUGUCCAAUUCGGCACACCCGACCACUUCCGGACAGAGUUCAUCAACUUCGUAGUCGCGGAUUUCGACGGGACCUAUCACGCCAUACUGGGCCGCCCAUCGCUGACAAAGUUCAUGGCAGUCCCGCACUACUCAUACCUAGUCCUUAAGAUGCCCACGGAGAAGGGUGUCCUAACCAUCAGAGGCAACGUCUACACUGCGUACACCUGCGAAGAAGAAAGCUUCAAGAUCACCGAGGCAAUUGACCUCUCAAUCCGCAUGGCGGAAACAGCAAACCAAGCCGCACAGCUGCCUCCCGACCAGCUCCGAUUACCCGAACAGGCGACAGCCAGGAAGAACUCAAAAUCCAAGGAGUACAAAGAAGUGCAGCUGGUCGAAGGCAACCCCGAGAAGACAGCCCUCAUCGGGGCCAACCUGGAUCCAAAAUAGGAAGACGCGCUCGUCAGGUUUCUAAGGGACAACGUGAGCGUUUUCGCAUGGAAACCCGCAGACAUGCCCGGUGUCCCACGAAACCUGAUCGAGCACUCCUUAAAUGUCUCGAAGACCGCAAGACCAAUCAAGCAAAAACUGCGACGGUUCGCUCGUGACAAAAAGGAGGCUAUUAGGACAGAAAUAACACGGCUUCUAGCAGCCGGAUUCAUAAAAGAAGUGUAUCACCCCGAUUGGCUCGCCAAUCCGGUUCUUGUACGCAAAAAGAAUAAUGAAUGGAGAAUGUGCGUUGAUUACACUGAUCUCAACAAACACUGUCCUAAAGAUCCUUUUGGUCUCCCUCGCAUCGACGAGGUGGUCGACUCAACGGCCGGAUGCGAACUCCUCUCCUUUCUAGACUGCUACUCUGGUUAUCACCAGAUCUCGCUAAAGGAAGAAGAUCAGAUCAAAACAUCCUUUAUCACACCCUUCGGCGCAUACUGCUACACGACCAUGUCUUUCGGACUCAAAAACGCCGGAGCCACUUAUCAAAGGGCCAUCCAGCAAUGCCUCCACGACGAGAUUCGUGAUGACCUCGUCGAGGCCUAUGUGGACGACGUGGUCGUAAAAACAAGGGACGCGAGCACCCUAAUCGACAACUUAGACCGAACCUUCAAGGCACUUAAUAGGUACAAGUGGAAGCUCAACCCCAAGAAAUGCAUUUUCGGCGUUCCUUCCGGUCUACUGCUCGGCAACGUUGUCAGUUGCGACGGCAUACGACCAAACCCUUCAAAAGUAAAGGCGGUACUCGACAUGCGACCACCGAAGAACGUAAAGGAUAUCCAAAAGCUAACAGGAUGUAUGGCCGCCCUCAGUCGCUUCAUCUCAAGGCUAGGAGAAAAAGGCCUCCCUUUCUUUAAACUGUUAAAAGCGUCGGAAAAAUUUUUUUGGACAGAAGAAGCCGACACCGCAUUCAACCAGCUUAAGACCUUCCUCACUUCACCACCUGUCCUUACAGCCUGGAGUUUCGCACAAGGAAACAAGAUGUGGAGAUCAAGCAGGAUUCUAGUCGGUUAGAAUAGAAAUUGAUAUCGAAUUAUCCAUGACAAUUGUAACCGACUAGGGUUAGUUUCCGGAUCUGUAACCCUGCCCUCCAGACUAUAUAAGGAGAGGCAAGGGACCCCCCUAGGACAUCAUAUUCUCUCAACACAAAUCAAUACAACCAGACGCAGGACGUAGGUAUUACGCCAACUCGGCGGCCGAACCUGGAUAAAAAGCUUGUCCGUGUCUUGCGUCACCAUCGAGUUCGUAGUUUGCGCACCGUCUACCGAUAAACUACUACCGUGGGUAUACCCCAAGGUAGACUGCCGACUAGCUUUCGUCGACAAGUAACUAGCCAUGUGUAUCUAAAUAGAGUAGAAUUGUAAAAGAGGACGAUGGUAAUCCUAGUGUACUAUUCUUGAGAUGUCUUGAAAUAAUAAAAUAUAGAAGGGCUUUGCACGAAAAGAGGAUGUGAAAAACAUGGCUUAUGCCGAGGCUGUUUGUUCGGUUAAAAAAAUAAGUUGAAAAUAAAGUAAUGUUCACUAAUCUAUUGUGUGAGAAAAAUAUUGUAUCAUAGCUGAUAAGUCUGUGUGUCAUUGUUAUAUUCGUAACAUAAAUUUGCAAAACUCUACAUUUCUCCCUUUUUUUUAAAAAAAAUGACAGACACGAGCUACCUUUUAUAUAGUACAGUCAGGCUUCUCCUUACGUGAUUGAGCAAAGCUCCUGCCAUUUCUUAAAAAAAUGCAAGCUCGGUUGAUAAGGGUUUUGCCGUUUGAGGCUUCCGUUGAGCAUCACGUUUGUGUAAACUCAGAAAAUAAACUAAAAGCUGCUGUGAAGUGAUUUCGUGGCUUUUGAUUUGUUCUGGAAGCUAAAUAAAUAUUAAAUAAAUUUAAUAAUAAAAAUACAGCUACAAAAUCAGCUUUUAUGUCAGAAGUACAAAAGGUACCGCUCAAACAAACUAGCCCUUAGGGGGGCGUUUGGUUGCCUACACCAGUCCUCCUGAGCCAGGCUCUCCGCGUGCGAGAACAGACAUUUGUUUGGUUGGCAUAUGUGCCGAGCGAGGCUACACGCGUGCAAAAAGCCUCUCGCAGCCAGGCUCUGCUGAAACGCAGAAAUCGGCCGUUUUUGUUGGGCCUGGCUCACCUCAUGCGAGCAAGCACUGAACGAUGCAUGACGUGUGAGAUAGAGAUACGUGAACACGGUGAACCAAACAGAUGCUGCUGUUGGCCUAGCUGUAGUGAUCCAAGUAACCAAACAAGAUGCUAUCGCAUACAUAGAGCCUGGUCAAAGUUGGCCUGACUAGCUCUGUGCGAGCUAGGCUCUACCGAGCAACGAACCAAACAGUCUCUAGAUGUCUUCUUCUCACUGUGUGAAAAAAUGGCAUUACAGACGCGCCUUUACUGAUAUCACAGAUGCUCCUGAGUGCGUCAGUGAUAUAAAGUCUGAUAAAUAUUUAAUAAGACCUUAAUACUGACGCACUUCUAACAUCCGUAUGUAAGUAACACAUAGACACGUCAGUAGUAAAGCUUUUUCAGCGACGCCUAUCUAGAACACACGUCAUUAAGGUCCAGCUCGUCAGUACAAAAUUCUAACUGCAGACGCUUCUUCAGGAAUAGGGGUCUGUAGUAAGGAUUAAGCCACAGACGCAUUAUCCAGAGACGCGUCUACAGUAUGAAUUAAAUUGUAACAGUACCAUCGGCAUAUCUCUGUACUAAAUACCUCAAUGAAACGACAUAAAUACACAUCAACAUCUCAUUAAUUAGUACACAGCUUUAACACAAUCAAAUACAGAUCAAAGUUUAAUCACUAAAUUAAAUGUGUAGCUCUAAUAAAGUCACGUUACCUUAUGGCUGGCUAUCGAAUAACUUAUUUUGUAGCUUGAUCAAAACUGGCUCGUGGUCACCAGCGCACCAUGUGUGUCCAUUCAUCCAUGGCAGCUUAGGCGCGUGGCUUUGGCUUUGUGUCUCCCACCUCUCUAGUGAACGCGAUAGCUCUUGAAGUUUUUAUAUUUUCCAAAAUAAUUUCAAUUUUAAACGCGUACUAAAACAAAUUCAGGGUUACUGAUACAAAAUAUGAGAUCGGGUCGUAGAAAAAAGUGCCGAGAGAAAAACUUUUAGAAUAAAAAUAUAGAAAACUUUUGAAGAUGAUUUCUUUUUUUACUCCUCAUGUUAAUCUAGGAGUUCAUAAACAUGAUAUUUUGGGGAAUAUAAUAUAAAAGAUCUCUUGGAGAUGCUAUCUUUUCUUCCACCUCUCUAGUGAACGGUAUAGCUCUUGAAGCACAAAUCCAAUUCUACGGACGUUCAUUCAUUCUACCUCUUGAAGCUUUCAUAUUUUCCAAAAUAAUUUCAGUUUUCAAGACAUAUUCACUGGAACAGCCUCCCAAUAUCUAUUCAAAAUGUAUUCACACGAAAAAGUAAAUAUAUAUUCCAAAUGAGCAAAAUUCCUUAUUUGGUCAAACUUGCGUAGGAUUCCAAAAGGGUUUUUUUGAACGGUGCCAUUACAAUUUCAAAGUAUUUGAAAUAUGCCAUUAUAAUUCAGGUAUCCUGAAGCGGACCAUUACAAUUCUUGCAAAAUUUGAAAUAUGCCAUUGGAUACGGUAGAAGGACGCUUGGGCCUGCUUGCAAGCCGACGUGGCAUACGGUCGACCGUAUGCGCCCGUCGCCGUGAGCCAUCUAAACGGCGCGGCAAAAAACGCCGUCUCCACCCCGCCCCUGACUCAUUCUCGCUCUCCAUCUCUCUGUCUCUCUCGAGCGUAACCCUAGGCGCGGCGGCGGCGGCGUGGCGGCGGCGGCGCAGGGGGAGGCAAUGGAAUAGGGGCGCAUGUCCAUGGCAGACGUGCCCCCGUGCACGGCGCAGCGCAGGGCGCCGCGGAUGGGGGAUAGCAACGAAAGGUAAUGUUUUGUCCUUCCAGAGCACGAAUACGAGUGCAUUAGGUCUUGAUCUGUUGAUUGGCAUUAGAUAUUGAUGUGAUUUGGUUGAUGCUAGGGUUCCGCUAUUUUCUUUAGAAAUUAAAGUGGAAGCAUUCUGUUGGAGAGACUCUUUGGGUAGGAAAGCUUACACAAAGGGCUCUGUAAUUAAGUGGGAUGUGGAGAUUGGCUCGUUUUCAUUUGAUGUACUGAUGGCCAGCUUGCGCAAUGCUGUCAAUUGCUCUACUACUCAGUGUCCAGUUGCUUGGUUCUAUGAUAAAAGGUUGUCUCAAGAUGUCAUGCUAGAAAAUCAAUUCCAGAUUAAUGAUAUGUUUGAGAUGUAUAAGGAGGAGAUGCAUUGCCACAUUGUCGUAGGGGUAUUUGAUCAGUCUGUUCCCACUAUUGAUCAAUUUGAUGAACUAGAUCUUCCUCCUGACACUAGCACUGGCAACCCAGCCAGUACUGACAGUUAUGUUAACCAGCCCACAUUUGAGGCAGAUGUUGCACCAGAGGCUGAAGUUGAGACUCAACUUGAGCCUGAUAGGGAACCUGAUAUGUUUGAUAACGAUGAGGAGUAUGUGGGUUGUGAUGAUGAGGGCAUGUACAUGCCAACACCACCAACACAGCCUCCUAGUAAUUCACCUCCACAUGCUUCUCAUGAUGCUGAAAAUGCUGAUGCUGAUGCUGAUGCUUUUCCUGUUGAGGCAGAGGUCACUGAUGCAGACCCUGAAGAGAUCAAUAUCAUUCAUGACCCAGAACAUCCCAAGAUUGUAAAGGGGGAGUUAUUUCCUGAUAUUGUUUCAUUCAGGAAAGCUAUCAGGCAUUUCUCUGUUACUAAAGGCUAUGUGUUAGCUGGUAUCAAAACAGACCCAUCAAGAUUUAUUGCAAAGUGCAAAUCCGAGGGAUGUCCUUGGCGCAUACAUGCAUCUAGGCUGCAGGGUAGAAAGACAAUACAGGUAACUGUCUAUUCACUAGUUCCUUUGUGCAAGUUUUAUUUUUUCUUUACCUGACAUGUUUCGUAUGCACAGAUCAAAGUACUGCCUGCAGAAGAUGGCAUCACAGUCUUGGUGUGCAGAUAGGCUGGCAGAUUGGAUAAAAAAACAUCCAACAAAACGUGCAAAAGAGUGCAGGGAGAAGUUGGAAGAUGAUUAUGGCAUCAAGCUGAAGUAUUCAAAGGCUUGGUCAGGUAUGCAGUGCGCAUUGGAUCAAAUCCAUGGUAAAUAUGAGGAAAGUUUUCAACUGCUAUUCAAUUGGGGUGCUCAAAUUGAAAAGGUAUCUCUUGGUAGCACUGUAGUGGUAGAGGUUGACAAAAUUGGUAAGAAGAACAGAUUCAAAAGAAUGUUUGUUGCUCUAAAGCCUUAUGUAGAUGGAUUCUUGGCUGGUUGUAGGCCUUUUUUGGGUAUAGAUGCAUCUUGUUUGAAUGGAAAGUAUAGAGGUCAGCUAGCUUCAGCAACCAGUGUAGAUGGACAUAAUUGGUUGUAUCAUGUAGCUUAUGGCAUUUUUGACAUAGAAAAUGAAGACAACUGGACAUGGUUCUUGCAACUUCUUAGUAGAGCAAUUGGGCCUGUCCCAAAUCUUGUAGUUUGUACAGAUGCAUGCAAAGGCGUGGAGAAUGCAGUGGGUAAAACUUUUCCAACAGCUGAGAAUAGGGAAUGCAUGAGACAUAUGUACCAAAACUUUUAUGAAGCACUAUUCUAGUGAUGUAUUCACAGACCACCUUAUCCUACAGCUAGAAGUUACACUCAAGAAAAAUUCCAGUGGCACAUGAAUCAGAUACAUGAGUAUGCUCCUCAAGCUAUAGAAUAUAUUGAGAAUUACCACAGCAGGAUAUGGUACAGGUGUGGGUUCUCAGAAAGUAGCAAGUGUGAUUAUUUGACCAACAAUGUGUCAGAAAGCUUCAAUGCACAGGUGAAGCACCUCAAAGGUUUAUUAUUACAUGAACUGGUAGAUGUUGAUAUUUGGUAACGCAAUAAGGAAAUAAUCCGCAAGCGCACGGAUAUCGGUGAGCAUUUCACCCGGGAGGUUUUCCAGAGUAUCGUAUUUAUAUUUUUACCACUGGGAGAAAGGGUGCAUCUGACUAACCAAAUCUAUUGCUACUAUCCCUUUAGGCUACAAAGAAUGUUUCUCAAUGUGAGUGAUAUAUAGAGAAGACUGCAACCGUAGUCUCGUUCUAACCUUGGUAAGGAUGAUCUACUGUUCUAUUGGGGAAGCUUACGGAAUCUAGACACCACAAAGGAUGUUUGACCCGCACCUAUAAACCUACCCGUCCUGCUAACAAGAUAUGGGAUACAAAGGUAACUCGGAAAUGUCACGUUCCUCGCUACUACCACGGUCCAGCUAGUCAGGGGAUAUCUAUGAGUACCCUAGUGAAAGGUCCUAAUAUGGCUAGAGGGGGGUGAAUAGCCUAUUUAAAAAUUCUACAAACUCACUAGAGCGAGAGGUUAGUAAAUAACAAAGCGAAGCCUUUUGCUCUAGCUCUAAUGGGGUGUUUGCAAGCCACCUGUCCAACAAUUCUAGUUGAUAUAAUCACUAGACACACAAGAGCUAUGUCACUACUUACACUAGAAAGCUACCUAAAGUUUCUAUACAAGUAAGUAAGCUACUCUAGUUUGCGGGAAUGUAAAAGAGAUGGUUUUAACUUUAUACCGCCGCAUAGAGGGGAUGAACCAAUCACUAAUAUGAAGUCCAAUCACCGGGAGAAAUCCAAUGAACAAUCACAAUGGAUACACACAAUUUUACUCCCGAGGUUCACGUGCUUGCCGGCACGCUACGUCCCCGUUGUGUCGACCAACACUUGGUGGUUCGGUGGCUAAGAGGUGUAGCACGAACCUCGUCCUCACUAGGACACCACAAGAACCUACCCACAAGUGAGGUAGCUCAAUGACACGAGCAAUCCACUAGAGUUACCUUUCGGCUCUCCGCCGGGGAAGGUACAAGACCCCUCACAAUCACCGGGAGAUGGCCACGAACAAUCACCAACUCGUGCUAAUCCUCCUCCGUUGCUCCAAGCCGUCUAGGUGGCGGCAACCACCAAGAGUAACAAGAAAACCGCAGCUAGAACGAUCCCCAAGUGCCACUAGAUGCAAUCACUCAAGCAAAUUCACUUGGAAUCACUCCCAAUCUCACAAAGAUGUUUAAUCUAUGAAGGAGAUGAGUGGGAGGUGUUUGCUUAGGCUCACAAGGAUGUUAUGUAUGUUAGAAUGCCAAGAGAGUGAGCCCCAAGCCGGCCAAACACGUAUUUAUAAGCCCCUCAAGCAAAUAGAGCCGUUGGCACUUUCACUGGGCAAACUGCGGGGUCACCGGACGCUCUCAAAGGGGCACCGGACGCUCAACACCAGCGUCCGGUGCUCCAACGUCAGCCAUGUGUCGCCUUUUGAAAAACUCGUGUCAGAGUCUAACGGUCACCUGCAGUGCACCGGACGCUAAGCAAGUUAGCACCGGACGCGUCCGGUGCACACCGGACUCAUGCGCAGAGAGCUCCGCAAACUCGCACGGUCACCGGACGCAAGCCACCGGACGCACCCUGAGCAUCCGGUGCUCACCGAACUCAUGCGCAGAGAGGGUUGCAAAACGCCCUCACACCGGACGCUAACCACCGGAAGCGUCCGGUGCUCACCGGACCCAUGCGCAGAGAGGGUCGCAAAACGCCCACACACCGGACGCGCACCACCGGACGCUCAAGCCAGCGUCCGGUGCCUAUCGUCCGGUGCCUUACCCUAGCUGGGCCAGGCACUGUCUGCACCGGACGCUCAGACGCAGCGUCCGGUGCUCCAGAAGCCAGCGUCCGGUGAGUGUUUUCUCAGCGAGAAACACUCCCACGACUACUCCAAAUUUCCUACCGACGCAAUAGAAAAUAUGCAUUUUAUUUUCUCGAAAAGCGCCGAAUCCCACCUCGCAAGCUCGGCGGGAGGGAGAGAGGAACCCAUCCUCUCUCUACGUACUCUUCAAACUCCACCUCCUUCUCAAAGUGUGCCAACACCACAAGUGUAAACCAACAAGUGUGCACGUGUGUUAGCAUUUUCACAAUCAUUUUCUUAGAAGGAGUUAAGUUAGCUCACUAGGUUCUAAAUGCAUACACAUGAACAAUGACACCUAGUGGCACUUGAUAACCGCUUAGCCAAAGAAUUCCCCUCUUUAUAGUACGGCUAUCUAUCCUAAAUGUGAUCACACCCUCUAUGGUGUCUUGAUCACCAAAACCAAAACCCUAAGCAAUACCUUUGCCUUGAUCUCCAUAGGGUUUUGUUUUUCUCUUUCUUCUUUUCCAAGUUGAGCACUUAAUCAUCUUGUGGUCAUCACCAUGAUCAUCAUGAUCAUCACUUGCUCCAUCACUUGGCAUGUACCAACCUCAUUAAGUCUACACACACUUAGUAUAGAGGUUAGUACUAGGGUUUCAUCAAUUAUCCAAAACCAAACUAGGGCUUUCACCUAGCCUAAACACCACGUUUACGCUAGCAAUAAUUACUCUAAUACUCAACCGGAAGAGGAUUAAAUUAAACUCAUAAACCAAAGAACAAUAAAACAAGAACUUACUAGAAUUAGAAGUCGAAUUACUGAAGAAUCUUAGAAGCAAGCCUCGGGUUAGAAGACUUGAUCCCGCAGGUACAACUCGGAGUAGACACCGACAGGUCGGCCUUCCUCCGAUCUACACCUCCACUCUAUCUCUCUCAAUCUAGUAGAAACUAGAAGAUCUAUUUCUACUUACAUUGGUUGCUAAGCCUAAAAAAAUAUUAUUUAGAGAAGAGGUUUUCCUUCGAGGGCACCCCUCAAUCUCUAUGAUAACUUCUUGUCUUCUCCAGGGGCCAGGGGGGUCUCCUUAUAUAGUCCUCCUCCUCUAUGCGUUUUUGGGUCGGUAGGCGAUGUGGUACUACAUUAUCCUUGAUCCAUUAGGUCGGUGGAACAUCGUGUGCGAAGAGAGUCCCGAACGGAGUCUAGGACACGGCGGGCGCCCAGGGAAAGAGGGCGGGCGCCCUGGGCCUGGCCCCUUUCGGCCUCUGCUUUCUUCCCGUGGCUUCUGGAGUCUUCUAGAUGGUAGAAAAUUACGCGGUGCGUUGAUAUCUCUAUGUAAUCCCGACAUGUGGGCCUUUCUUCCGUAUUUUUUGAUAACCCCCUGCAGAAAUAGACAAACACCAAAACUCAUGGAAUUCUGUCAGAUAAAACCCUAAGUCUAGAUGUUGAUUUCAUUUGGAUCCUUUUCUUUGUUUAUUUGAUAAUUAAAUUUGAUACUUAAGGACCGUCAACAGUAGACAGAAUUAGAGAGCUUAUAAUGGAGAAGAGAUAUUUGAGGAAGAAAGUUGCUAGGCAGUGGGAAGAUGGAAUCCUCCCAAAUGUGAUGAAGGAUUGUUGGGUAUUCUUAACAUCAUUACCAAAAGUAGACUAAGUUCUCUAAAUCUAGUAACGGUGCCAAAAAUGCCAAACCUAUCCCUCACACCACUUAAGCCAAGUUGUCAUCCCCAGCAUGACAUGAGAGACGCGGUAUUGAAAUAUGCAAUUGCUCUUCUAAAUAAAUAAUGAAUGAGAUCUGCAAGCGCACAGAUUAAUACCGAUGUAGCAUUUUAACCGGGAAGUAUUCUAGGUAUCGUUAUUUAUAUUUUUACCACUGGGAAGGGAUUAGCAAUCAUCACUAUUGAUUACAGAAUAGAAUAUGAGAUUGAGCAUCUAUCAUUGCAUGUAUAAUUGAGAACAUUUAUCUAACUCUUCAUACAGGGAUAAGUGUCACAUAAAAGAUAUAUGAAAUAAUAAUAGUGACAAGGAUAACUAAUCUGAUCUAGCCACAUAAUAAAUAUGAUAAGCACCUCAAUUAGAUACUCUAGAAAGUCAUUAGCAUGGUAUUAGAACGAACUAUAAGAAUAUUCCCUAAGUUAUUCUCAACUAUAUAGUUUAGCAUUAUCAUAGUUAGUGCAAGCAUACUUAGCAAUCAUUGUGAGACAAGACUACGCCCAUGCAUAGUGAUAUUAGCAAGGAAUAUGAGAAACAUAGCAAUCACUCCCCUAUAAUAAUGUUGCUCUGCCAGCCCAAUACACGAGAGGGGGACUAUAUAAGAAUCAAUGAAGCUGUCACUAUCACGAACCACCCCACGAUCUGGCAUAUUGGGUACAAUCGCAGAUAAAUAUGGUAUAAGCACCACGCCUACACAAUAUCUAUCAUUUACCCAUGGAUCCGAUGGAUAAACGCUAUACGAUCCUAAGCAUGUAUAUAGAUCGAAUCUAACUAAGCCAAGUACAUAACUAUGAUAAACUAAGAACAAUAUAAUCUUGAAUAUAAGCAAGUAGAGCAAAGUCAUAAGCAAUAUAUUGAAGUAGAACAAAGUCAUAUUUAUAAUAUUGAAGAACAAAGAUAAUUAGAAAGUAAUUAGAAGCACAAUUAGAGAAUUACCAAGAAUCCUCUUGACAGAUCCGGAAACCAAUCGAAGAUUGACUCCUUCUAGUUCUAAUCCUAUGUAGCUAUGCUAAUCUAGAUAUCUAAUUGAUGUGGUGGCUCUAAUCUUGAUCAGAGGCUUCUUCUCCCUUGAAGAACAAUGAAUUAGGGUUGAGAGGCUCCCCCCUCUAGGGGCCAGGGGGUCUGGUUUUAUAGUCCCUUCAAGUGAAUAUGGGCCGUUGGAUCAAACCGACAUAGAUUGUAUGGUUUAGAUUCAUCCUUUAGGUCGGUGGAAAUCUCCCACGAAGCAGAGUCCUGAUUGGACUCAGGAGGUGGGCGGGCGCCCUGAUCACCUGGGCGGGCGCCCAGGGUCACGCCCCGUUUCGCCUCCGCUUCGGUUUCGUGGCUUCUGGAGUCUUCUAGAUGUAAGAUAAUUGCGCGACACGUUAAUAUCUCUAUGUAAUCCCGACGUGUGGGCCUUUCUUCCGUAUUUCCUGAUAACCCCCUACAGAAAUAGACAAACACCAAAACUCGUGGAAUUCUGUCAGAUAAAACCCUAAGUCUAGAUCUUGAUUUCAUUUGGAUCCUUUUCUUUAUUUAUUUGAUAAUUAAAUUUGAUACUUAAGGACCAUCAACAAGGAUCUCAACCUGAUCAGUACUCAACUCAAUGUAGUCAAGGUCAAAGUCAGUGAUGAUAACACUGCUGAAGUUACAAUCCUGGAGUGGGAGAAGCAAAGGAGGCACACUGUGGACCUAGGAAACCACAAUUGUUCCUGCAGGCAGUGGCAAGUGACUGGAAAGCCAUGUAAGCAUGCUUUGGCUUGGAUACUGUCAAUCCCAGGGAUGAGAAUUGAGGAUUAUGUACAUGAGUACUAUUCAGUUGCUAGAUUUAAGGCAGCUUAUGCUGAUAGGAUUGAGCCUAUCCCAGACAAGGAUGAAUGGCCUGUUGUCAACCUUGGUUUUAAAGUGUAUCCUUCAUUGCUAGGCAGAGGUCCAGGAAGGCCAAGGGUUGUAAGAAUUAGAGGGACUUUUGAGCAGAGGGCCACGAAGAAGAAAGUUAGGUGCAAGAGAUGUGGUGACUUUGGACAUUUUUCCAAGACCUGCAAGUUGCCAGAACUAGGUGAAGAUGGAGAAAGAGGACAAGGGUCUUCAAAAAGGUAUUAAAACUAUUGUCUAACCAUUUUAUUAUUUUUUCCUAUGUACUAAGAUCUAACCGGCUAUUGUCAUCUCAACGCAGAAAGAGGCCGACUCAGCAAGUGUCAUCACAGGAAGCUCCAACGCAGGAAGUACCAACACAGGAUGAUGCUGGACCUUCCCAGGUGAAGAAGACCAAGCCUCUGAAGAAGGUUACAACUAAGAAGAAGAAGAAGACACCAAAGAAAACAAAGCUGCAGAGGGAAGCAGCUGCACCUGGGAAGGCUGUUAUCAGCAGCAUCAGGCACCUGAUCUAUGAUGCUCCACAGGAUGCUGAUCUAUGAUUCUCCACAGGAUGCUGAUCUAUGAUGCUCCACUUAUAUGGCUUUGUUCUGAACCUUACUAUGUAAUGAGGCAUUAGAAUGCCAACUUGGAACUUGUAUGGCUGAUGCUGCUACUAUGUAAUGAGGCAUUAGAACUUGCCAACUAUUUUCAGUCAUGUGAACUCUACUUAUGUUAGUUUGUACUCUCCUGUAUUGUGUCAAUUAUCAUGUGAACUCUACUUAAAAUGUUAAGAAAACAAGACAAAGUGCUGCAGAAAUUCUAAUAUAUUUUGAAGCUGAAAUUCUAAUCUAUUUUCAGUGACAAAAGGCAUAGGACAAUGCUGAUCAUACUCAUCGAAGAAACUCAGUGACAAAAUGCUUGUUCUUUCAUUGCAAAUACACAUAAUUACAGUCACUUCAUCAUCUGAGAAAAACCUACACCUAGCAGUACACCCACAAGGACACCUACAACAACAGAUACAUCCAACACAAUUUGCAUUUUCCCCUUCCUGCCCAAGUCCAGUGCUGGACUCUGAUUACUAACUUGACUAGGAACAGCAACAACAUCUCUGUCUCCAAGUUGCACCUUCAUUUUCUCAAGUUCAGUGACAACUCUAUCUAGAGUUUGCUUCAUCUCCUUGUCCCGUUGAUUCAAAUCAUCAUUAGGAUCCCCAACUGCUGAAUGAAGGGGCAACUGCAGCUGAAUCUCUUUCUCCUUUUGCUUCAUAAACCAUGCCUCGUACUGCUCCUCCGAACGAAUCCAGCCACAAGUUGUUGGAUCACCCUGUGCAAGCAACACCAGUCAAAUUGAAAACAAAGGAAGCACAUUCAAGGGCAUAAACAAUGCAAAUAGUUACCUUUACGUUGUUUGGGCACUUGAUGAAUGCGACAUCCUUUGAGUGCUCUUGCUUGCUCACGAUUCGGAUCAAAGGAACAUUGCACACUGGGCAGUUCAGUAGGGGGCACUGCACCCUUCUACUGCCAGCAGCGGAAGAGCUCGAGGCCAUCUUCAUCUGCAGCGCCGCCGUCGGGAUCGUGGCACCGGAAUCGCCGCCGCCGCGCCUAGGGUUACGCUCGAGAGAGACAGAGAGGUGGAGAGCGAGAAUGAGUCAGGGGCGGGGUGGAGACGGCGUUUUUUGCCGCGCCGUUUAGAUGGCUCACGGCGACGGGCGCAUACGGUCGACCGUAUGCCACGUCGGCUUGCAAGCAGGCCCAAGCGUCCUUCUACCGUAUCCAAUGGCAUAUUUCAAAUUUUGCAAGAAUUGUAAUGGUCCGCUUCAGGAUACCUGAAUUAUAAUGGCAUAUUUCAAAUACUUUGAAAUUGUAAUGGCACCGUUCAAAAAAACCCAUUCCAAAAUAGAAAGUCCUUUUCCUUCCCAAACAGAAAACCAUGUUUAUCUGCCAACAGUUUCUAACCCAUGGGUCCCACGGGUGCCAACGGUUUCCCUCUUGAUCCUCCCCAAUCGCCCGCUCACACCACCACGCCGCCACGCCGCUCAUCGUUAACUUCCUGCCCUCCACGGACUUAUCCGCUCGUCGCGCCCGCCUCAAGCUAAUGACGAAUCUAAUGAGUAGAAGAGUGAGGGCAUGUGUCCUUAAGGAAAAAAAACGUCUUCGACCAGAAAUCUCCACCUGCCGCGCUGUGGAGUUCUCGUGCUGGGGCUCCUCCCCGUGCGUCGCCACGGUGCCGUGGCUGACCACACGAGCGCGGCUUGGCAUGCGUCUAAAGAUACAGUGGCCGUUGUUGGAGAUGACCUUGAAGCUGUGCAUCUGCCAUUCUGCCUUCCAUUGGUGCCUAUGGGGUACACUGUCAAACAGCGCUGGUGCCCCCUCCAUCGGCGCGGGAGGAAGAAGAUGACCAGGUUGAGCGGUGUGGAACCGUCGUAAACGAAUCUGCGCGGUUUCUCCCAACACGGUUGACUGUGGGCUGAUUUACGGGUACACGGUUAGUAUACAGCAUCGUACAUACCACUCAUAUAUAUAGUCAUAUAUAACAUCUCAAGUCCAUACACGGCACACUGCUUAGAGAACCUUUAUUUAUUUUGUAUGAAAAAGGGACAUGAAAGAAAACCAUUCUCCGAAUAUAUCAAAACAUGUAUAAGGCUGCCCGUGAAGUAGAAUCGCAUCCCCAUCCACAGAUUUAGUUGUAGGCGUCGGGGUUGGCGACGAGGUAGGCCUCGGCACCCUUGAAAAUGGCGGUGAGUGCCUCCUUGGCCUUGGCUUCCUCGUCCUUCUCGUCCAUGCCCGGCAGCAACUUGUAGGUCGACUCCACCUUCACCACGCUGCCGCCGUCGGCCGUGGGCUCCACCUUGAUGUGUGACGCCGCGGUCUCGAUGGCAACACCGAUGCCGCCGCCCUCGACGAGCGUGUUCUUGCACUCGCACUUGUCCACGUCCAGGAAAUCGAGCCUCUCCUUCAUGAAGCUGAACGGCAUGACUGCAAGAACGAUCGCGCACGUCAUUCGCUAGCUAUUUGAUCGAUCGAUCGGGCGACAACAUGUUGGUCUGGGCGACUGGGCAUGCUGCGGACACUUACAUGAGGUGAAGUUGAACUGCCUGACGCUGCCAACGCCGCCGUCGCCCUCCACGGGGUGGGCGCUGGCGACGACGUGGGAGGCGACCUUGGGCGCCAGGGUGUGCCAGUCCAUCACGGCGGCGCGGAACAGGCGCGGCGCGGCCACCGGCGACGGAAUCUCCAGGGUCCAGCUGCUGGCGGAGGCCAUUACUUCAGUGAUCGGCCGAGAUAAACUAAACUAGGUGCGAGCCGAAGCUGCUUAGGUGCUUGUGCUGCUGCAGGUGGUUUUAGGAUUGCGCUUUUGCUUGCGUUGCCAUUAGAGUGGCGGACGGAGGACUUUAAAUAGGCGGUUAUGGCGGGGUUGGUGGCGUCCCGUGAGGAUGAGACGCUCGGGAGUCGUCGUCGGCGGCUCUUCCCACUUUGGCUUGGCACGGCACCGUCGCUCGUCGGUCCAUGUAGUUCAUUAUAAUAUACUACAUGUUGCCGGGGUUGCGGACAAACGUCUGGAAACGUGCUGCCAUUCCGUCAGCGUUCAACCCCUGAAGGUGUAGAAUAUAUAUCGUCGAAUUGGCGAGCCAAAUCAGCUUCCAGAUCAAAAAGCAUGUACUGUAAGCGUGGGUUGGUGUCAUUAGAAACGAGAAUUAUACCGUACGUGAGCGUCCUGACUACUUGCAUCACUCUUUUGGUGUCGCACUGUCGCUAUUAACUACUAAUAAUAAACAUAAUCCUGUAAAUCCACCUCUUUUUAAUCAUCCUAUAAAUACCUCUACUGGCGACAGCAUGGACAAAGCUCAUACGGAAAAUAACAUAGUGGUGGCCAAAGCUGUAUGGGAAAAUAUUGAUUGCAGACUAUCAAUUGGGUGCAAAAGUACUCAGUGUAAACUAUUAAUUAAGUGCAAAUAUAAAGACAAUUGCUAUGUCACAGUUGAUUGUUUUAGCCUCCGUGAAUAACUGAUUUCCUGGCCGUUUGAUUCUUAUCACGUGGGAUGAAAGAAAGACCAACAACGCUGCGGAAGCAGAGCGUGAGGAAGGACCGAAGGAGCCACCAGGGGUCCACUGAUGUCGCCAUUAGCACCAAGGAGAGGCCGUCGUCAGAGUCAGAGUCAGGGUUGUAGAGGGCUAUCACGUCCGUUGUCGAGGUCGGGGUGGGGUAAAGAUGGCAAUGGAUAAUUACCCGCUGGGUAUAUGCUACCCAUACCUUUACCGAUGAGAAAAUAUUUUACCCGUUAAUUUACAUAUCCAUGUAUGGGUAAGAGUUUUUUCCCAUACCCUUACCCACGUGGGUAACGGGUAAUCCAUGAGUUUUCUUACCCAUGAUUCUAAGAAUACUUGUAAAAAAUAAAUACAUAUUUAAAUAUUCUAGACUCCCAAUUUCAGCCAAAGUAUCAUAAGUCAUUAAUAAAAUCAUCAAAUAUACAAGCUCCAUGAAUACCUAAUCAAGUAAUCUAAUAGAUAAAUCCAUCAUUACUAGACAACAAGUGACAAAAUUUACAAGUUUCCGUGUUGUGCGGCCGCCGCAAGGAGAUAGGGGAAAGGUGAGAGAGCGGAUGUGUGAGGUACUAAGGUGAGGGCCUAGAGUUUGACAGCAUUAUAUAUGAUUUUUAUUGGACUUGGCCUGUGUAUGGUGAUUUUGGUCCAUAAUUCUAACUUAUUGAAUCGGGUCCAAUCCCAUACCCUUACUCGCUUUACCCGCUGGCUAAAGCUUUUUCCCAUUAUCUUACCUAUGGAUAAAAAAAAUAGUCAUACCUUUACCCUAAUGAAGUAAUUAACCAUCGGAUUUCGAGUAAAAAUUGACAUCUUUAAGGUGGGGAAUGGCCGCCGCAUCUACCAUAGCCACCUGCUUCCUGAGAUCCAUGGGGAAAGAGCCCGCCGCUAGCCGAGGGUGAGGAGCCGCCGCCUCUGUGUGGCCAACUUCAUGUCGGGCCUCUACCGUGGCGGGGGUAGCUCACAGAAGGGAAGGGAUAAAGUUGGUGAGGGUGGGUCCCACCAUAAUUGGUGAAUAAUUUGCCAUGUAUUUCUCUAAUAUCUACUAUCUAAAGAAAUAUUUUGUAUUUUUUUCUGAAAAGUUUGGCAUAUUUGUCUUUGAGAUAUGUAAUCUAUAAAAAUACCUAAGAUAUAUCACUAUAUCCAAUAAAUGACACUAUGUGUUAGCAUUUUCUCACUACAUUUUCAAAGGUGUUAACACACUAGAUUCUAAUGCAUAUGCAUUAUCAACAACAGCUAGUGACACUUGAUAAACCGCUUUUAACCAUAAUUUUCCUCUCUUUAUAGUACAGCUAUCUAGUCGACUAGUCCAAACCCAAUUAUAUCCUCUAUGGUAUCUUGAUUGGCGAAACAAGAAUGGCCCUAUCACAUACCUUUGCCUUAAGCUCAUUUUUAUUUUUCUCUUUCUUUUUUUCCAAGUUGGAGCACUUGAUCUUCACACUUGACCACCUCCAUCAUCUAUAGAUGCCAUAAUCUAGCUGGUGUGUACCAAUCCUAUUUCCUAUCUUAUAUACACCUAAAGCAAUGGUUAGUAGACUUAGAUCUCAUCAAUUAUCCGAAACUAAACUAGAACUUUCAUGUAGUGACACAACAUCUACUUUCUCUCACCCUUCCUCUUUCAUGGAAUGCAAGCAUUCAUACAUCAUUAGUAUGUUGUAUGUAAUGAGUCUCUCUAGCACAAACACCGACUGUUCUUCCGAAAUCACCUUUGGGAAAAAAUAAUCCACAGUCUGUUUGCCACCGUCUUAGAAGCAAUCUUAUAUAUCAUGUUACAUAGACUGAUGAUAGGCCAAAACAGCCCGCUCGACCAACUUCUCCACUUUUGUGAUCAAUACUAUUCAUGUGCUAUUUAUCACAGAAGGAUCAUCCUCGCCACAUAAGUCCUAGUGCCGCUAAAAAAAAUGAGCAGGAAAACCAUCUGGCCCCGGCGUUUUUGUCUUAAACAUGUGAGAAAGCUUAGUCCUGAUCUCCUCCUUUCGUAUACAAGGCGAGUGUCCUGACAACUACUUGCAUCACUCUUUUGAUGUUGCACUAUCGUUGUUAGCCUUAUCAUUAACUCCUUUCCUCUCUAAUCUCUAGAAUUAAGCAAAGAUUUGAAUGCUUUCUCAAUUUACCAUCAUAUAAUUAUUAUAUUAUAAUAUAAUCAAAUAAAUACACCUCUUUUUAUUCAUCCCGCAAAUAUAUCUAGUGGCAAUGAGUAUGGAAAGAGCUAAUACGAAAACUAUCAUAGUGGUGGCCAAAUACAUGAGAAAAUAUUCAGUGCAAACUAUAGAUUGGGUGCAAACAUAAACCCUUUAUAACAUAAUUAGAUGUUUUCUUAAAAAAAUGCCCACUUCGCCACUAAAGUUAAGAUACAAAGAAAUGGGGUGGGGGUGUGAUGCAAAGAUAUUGGAGAGUGAAUCUCUUCUUUCAAACCUCCCAAGAAACUAGUCACAAAGUAAACAUAAUCGUAGGAGCUAUUGUACAAUAGAAUUUGAUGCGCAGGCUGUUCAAGCUACUCAAAUUACUGUGACCGAACUAGUCUACUGAAGAUGAUUGUUUCAUACAUAACUCAUAUUGGUCACGAUUAAAAUAAUUACAAACCGCAUCACAAGAGCAGGCCAAGAUGUGAAACAACCACACAACUCUUUAAAUUGUAACCAAGUGGCAGCGGUCCUCCAGAACUCAAUGCAACAGAGCUAGGCUUCAAUGUCUCGCUGAUAGAGUACAUCUCAAAAUAGAUCUUACAGUGAUCCUUCCACAACCAUAAAUUGUCACCAUCAAAUUUGGGGAAAUAUGAUUUGGGCAUCGGACCAACUGGAGAUGUAUAAGAAUAUGAAUGUUCCAUCGGUCCACCUAUCAUUCCCUUGUACUUGCGUGCCCGUUAGUUAGCUAUUAUGUUCCUCUUUUUUAUUGGAUCCCAAACACCUCUGCUUCUAGACCAACUUCCAUCGUCGUCUACACAUAUCCCAUGGAGUUAGAGCAAGUUUAAUUAAUACAGUCCACUUGCUGACUGUAAGGUUCCUUACAGCCUUCUUUCAGCCCCACCCAUACAAUAGUUAGUUAUUCAUUAUUAAUACAUGACUCACUUAUCUCUCUUACAAAGUUUUCAGCUUACAACAUGCUUCUCUUCUCUCUCCUCCACCUCAGUAUUUAGCCAGCUUACAGCCCACUAUAAUACUUGCUCUUAUGACAAAUGCCUACUUCUCUCGCCUUUUUAGUGAACACUAUAACUCCUGGAGUCUUCAUAUUAUUCGAAAAAUAAAUUCAAAUUUCAACAAUGACACAUUCAGCAGAAUAAAAAGUCUCCAAAUUUCUAUUAAAAAAGAGCAAACAUUCCUUAUUCAGUCAAACUUGCAAAGGAUUUCAAAACAGAAGACCUCGUAUAACCAUGAGGGUGUAAGUAAUCUCACAAACAAAGCAUCACAAACCACUUAUAAUCUCAAGUCCAUACACGGUACACCACACACUGCAUAGAGCAACUUUAUUUUGUUUUGUAUGAAAAAAGAGGAAAACUCCAGGAAAGAAAAAAGAAAAUUAAACCCAAACUUCAGGAAGGGGAAUCGCAUCCCAAUCGACUGAUUUAGUUGUAGGCGUCGGGGUUGGCGACGAGGUAGGCCUCGGCACCCUUGAAAAUGGCGGUGACUGCCUCCUUGGCCUUGACUUCCUCGUCCUUCUCGUCUACGCCAGGCAGCAGCUUGUAGGUCGACUCCACCUUCACCACGCUGCCGCCGCCGGCCGCGGGCUCCACCUUGAUGUGCGACGCCGCG